rnacentral:rRNA from 1 species
UACGAAGGGGGCUAGCGUUGCUCGGAAUCACUGGGCGUAAAGCGCACGUAGGCGGCUUCUCAAGUCAGGGGUGAAAUCCUGGAGCUCAACUCCAGAACUGCCUUUGAUACUGAGGGGCUCGAGUCCGGGAGAGGUGAGUGGAACUGUGAGUGUAGAGGUGAAAUUCGUAGAUAUUCGCAAGAACACCAGUGGCGAAGGCGGCUCACUGGCCCGGUACUGACGCUGAGGUGCGAAAGCGUGGGGAGCAAACAGG